GGCCUCUGGGGAAGUCCUGAAUUUAACAAAGCACUUUUCCUCCUGAUGGUGAAUGAGUGCCGUGGAGACUUUGACUUAUUAAAGUUAAAUGAAGGGGACGAAUGAUUCAUAUAAAAUGUUUUGGGGGUUUACACGUCUGUCUGGCCUCACGUGACAUUAAACUUGUAGUAACAGAAAAUAGAUGCCAAAUGCCAAAGAAACAGUUCUUUUACUUGGAAUAUGUUCUGACAAGGAAAUAAAUUAAUCUGUUACUGAGUGUAGGAGGAUUGUCUUAGUGAGUGUCAGGAGUUGACCAGGAGUAGAAGUGCUCGUCUCCACACAUAAGACCCUGAGAAACAUCCAGAACAAACCAAGACUAUACUUUCAGGGAUUAUUUCUUUAGUUGUUGACUUGAGAAAUGUGUUUCUAAAGAGUUUGGUCUUGCUGCCCACAAUGAAGAGUUGAGAUGUUUCCUUCAGAGCAGGAAACUGGUGGGAAGACUUUGUUUCUUCUCCACUGUUGAAGACUGGUCAGAGAAACUCUGAAGGAGGAAACAUGAUCUGAGUGGAG